AUUGAACGCUGGCGGCAGGCCUAACACAUGCAAGUCGAGCGAGCGGCGGACGGGUGAGUAAUGUAUGGGGACUGCCCGAUAGAGGGGGAUAACUAAUGGAAACGGUGGCUAAUUCCGCCUACUAUCGGCUAAUCCAUAUGGGAUUAGCUAGUAGGUGGGGUAAAGGCUCACCUAGGCGACGAUCUCUAGCUGGUCUGAGAGGAUGAUCAGCCACACUGGAACUGAGACACGGCCCAGACUCCUACGGAGGCAGCAGUGGGGAAUAUUGGACAAUGGGCGAAAGCCUGAUGCAGCCAUGCCGCGUGUAUGAAGAAGGUCUUAGGGUUGUAAAGUACUUUAAGUGGGGAGGCGUUACCCGCAGAAUAAGCACCGGCUAACUCCGUGCCAGCAGCCGCGGUAAUAC
rnacentral:rRNA from 1 species